GGCCAGAUCCGGCCCACGGGCAGUAUUUUACCCAGGCCUGCUAUAGAUCGACAGCACAGGAUGUCUGCAACUUGAAUUAACAGAUAAGCUGGUAUAAUAGUAGUUACUCACUAAGAGUACUAGUCAUCAGGGGGAUAUGAGAUACAAACUAUGAUAAUGGCUUUCAGAGCCAUUUACUAGAAAUUUAAUGGCCUUUGAUAUACAGAAGGUCAGAAUUAAUGAUCAAUUAGCCUUCAGGCCUUAAUUUAGACGACAAAGGAACACUGGAUCUCAGGAACUGAGGAUCUGGAGAUGAGUGGGCAUUAUUGUUGUUAAAGACCCUUCUUCUCACAUAUCUCUCUCCCCCAUUCCCUGAGCACCUCCUAUACCCUGAAUGCGGAGGAGGAGAAGCUAACAUGCUCCUCUUCUGCGUUGCCUGGGCAACAGCAGGGGGAGGAGAGAGAAAAGGAGAGACUAUGCCCAUUCACAGUUUUAGUGUGGGUUCCACAACAAUCCCUAACAUCAGGGAGCAACGAUUGCAAGGAGAGAGACUCAGAACUUGCAGCCCUGGGCAGCAGCAUACUCACUACAGACGGCAUCUUUGGGGAAUGUAGCUGUUUCACACUAACCUCAGCAAGCUGUGAUUUUCAGAGGCUAAUCAUCUCUGCCAAAAGAGACUUCAGCUGUAAAAUUGGCUUCCAACUUGACAGAAGAGUUGUGGGCAAUGGUUAAUCAUCCUUGUCAGAGAUGACUUAUCCCUGGGCCUCUCUUGGACACCAAUGCUUUGCUUUUGGCAGACUGCACUGAACAACAGAGCAACUACCUCCAGAUCUGCCACAUCAUCCCCACUUCAGCAUCAGGAGACUGGUUCUAGUAGAGACCUACUGGAAAACGUGAACCAGAAAACAAAUAAAAUGAAUUCUACUCUGUAAAGCAAAUUAUGAGCACUUGAUAAAGUGAAAGCCACCAGAAAGCCACCACUUAAGGUCUCAACAGCUGACAACCUGCAUAGUCCAGAAAACUGUCUUCAACAAGUACAAAACUGAGACACACAGUGACAGAGACUCAGAAAAUUAAAGACACUUGUGAAAAAAGAUAGUGGGUCCCUUGAUAUAUACAACUCAUGAAGCAAGUGCUCAAAGAAUCUCAACCUUCAGAAUCCCAGAGAUAAAUAUUUUGCACAGCUAGGAAGAAACAUAGGGAAAAUAAAACCCAUUCUUUGCUGGGCCUGGACACUGAGGAUGAUCUUCUAUGUGUCAGUUAAUAGUUAUCAGAAUCCAUAAAAAAUAAAAAUGCAUUUGCUAUCCAGUUCUGUAAUUGCCAUUCUCAACUGAAUCCAAAGAUGAAGAGAAUCCUAGCCACAUCCCAUAAAACUUUUAAAAUAAAAUACUUUAUUAUUUUUUCUUGAUACAGUUCCUGUAACAGAAAUACUGACUACAGUAUGAAGGAGUUUUUUAAAUAUAUAAACUUCUGCAUCUAUCUUGUCUCCAUUUAUGAGCAAUGUAACACUGAACAACCCUCUUCUCUUUCAGUAUAUUUCUUCUACACAGAUAUGUCUGGAAACCUGCAUGGAUACAAAAUUGGUAUCCGCAUCUGCAAAAAAUAAUCCACGGAUAUCCGCAGAUAACUGCGAAUAUAAAACAGAUAUCCAAAGAUUUGCAGAGCUCUAUGUAUAUUCUACUCUGCCUUCUGUGUAGGAACUAUACUAUGAAAACUUUUCUAUCUUCUUUCCUGCUUGACAAAACACACAUCUUACAUGCAUCCCCUGACUUAAUUACAUAUUAUUCAUUCAAACUGUGGGCAAAUCAUUCCUUCAUUUCCUACUUCCUUACGGAAUGAUAUUACUUUUUUGGGAUGCUUCAUUUAUUGUUCUAGGAUGUAGGUAAGUAAAGACAAAAAUGUUCUUCUGUAAAGUACUAUCUAAUUUGAAUUUUGCAGAGUCAUUCAACUGUACUUUCUUGUUACAGAUUAGUGGAAAGUAGAAGUUAUUUAUAUGUGAAGUUAAUUGCUAGCUUUAUAUGUCAAAAUAAGAAGAAUAAAUAUGGAUAAUUUUUAAAACAAGAAUUUUUCUUUUACCUGCUAGGACUGGAGCUCAGUUGUUUUUCUUCUCUAAUAGUUCAGGAUAUCACAAACAUACCAGGCCCUGUGUAAUCUACGACAAAAUGGAUUCAAAUGUGCAGAAAGCACACCUGAUUUUUGCAGCA